rnacentral:rRNA from 1 species
GCAAGUCUGGUGCCAGCAGCCGCGGUAAUUCCAGCUCCAAUAGCGUAUAUUAAAGUUGUUGCAGUUAAAAAGCUCGUAGUUGAACCUUGGGCCUGGCUGGCCGGUCCGCCUCACCGCGUGCACUGGUCCGGCCGGGCCUUUCCUCCUGGGGAGCCGCAUGCCCUUCACUGGGUGUGUCGGGGAACCAGGACUUUUACUUUGAAAAAAUUAGAGUGUUCAAAGCAGGCCUAUGCUCGAAUACAUUAGCAUGGAAUAAUAGAAUAGGACGUGUGGUUCUAUUUUGUUGGUUUCUAGGACCGCCGUAAUGAUUAAUAGGGACAGUCGGGGGCAUCAGUAUUCAAUUGUCAGAGGUGAAAUUCUUGGAUUUAUUGAAGACUAACUACUGCGAAAGCAUUUGCCAA